rnacentral:lncRNA from 1 species
GGCGGCCGUGGUGGCCAGCAGGCCUCGACUUGGCGGGUUUCGAUCUCGCCGGGAAGGGGCGAGGAGUUCGGCGAGGGGGCUGUGCCGCCGCCCGAUCAAAAGGAGGGCGAUCCAGGUAGCUCCGCUUUGCAUCGUCUUCUUCUAAUUUGUUCCAGUGUUUGUUUGAUUACCCUGUCAUUGUAGUUGAUCGCGCUUCGUCUUCUUCUAAUUUGCUCCAGUGUUUGUUUGAUUAUGCUGUCAUUGGAGUUGAUCGUGCAUUGUCUUCUUCUAAUUUGUUCCCCUGUUUGUUUGAUUAUGCUGUCAUUGGAGUUGAUCGGGUGGGGUGCGAAGGUAGCGAGAAGAAGGGGGAUGGAUGGGAAGAUGGACAGUUUGGGAGGGGGGGUAGAGGAUGAGGCUUAUCCGCCGUUAACCGACUCGCUGUUGGUACAGCGGACAGGCCGGAGUUGUCUUCACGGCGUCGCCUUCUAGAUGGGCUCGGAAGCGGCAGAAGGCGCAUACGAACAAUACCACCCUCCACAGAAUGUGGAUAGGAUGAGAAUAUCCGGAUUUUUAUCUGUGGAUUUUUGAGGGAUAAGUACGUGGUAUUCUCACCGCGUCCAAGUCCAACAAUCAACCAUGAGUAAGAAAUUUCGAGAGGAGUUUUUUCCUCUAGAAUUUUCCAUUAAUUAAAAAUAUUUUCCGGAUAAGCAAUGACUGGAUGUUCACGCAGCAGUGUAUGAUGCUCGACAUGUGUACUUUUGUUUGCUUAAGUUUAUAAAUUCAGCCAUUGUUCGAAACACGGUUUCAACACAUUAUAAACCCUAGAUUUCCUGUGGAAGAGGAGAUCAAGAGGAUCCAGAUUUUCUCCGUGACAGAGUGUUAUAAGCGAAUACUAGAUAUAACUCCCAUGAAUCAACUCGGUGGGUUGUCUACUUGAAGAUUUUCUAUGUCAUCAGUAUUUAGCAUGGAUGGUUAUGGCAAGCAGUGGAGUGAGAGCGAUUGCAGGGGAUCAUUGUUGAGUAUCUAUGGAAAGAAUUCCCAGAAACUGAAUUGAUUCCCAUCGCCUCCAGUUUUAGCCUGUGCUUCUUUGGCUCUUAUUUGGGCCAAGUCUGACAUUUUUCUACGCCUUGAUCAAAUCUCAACCCUGAGUCCAAAAGAUAUACGCCACACCCGGCCGGCUCCCAGGGAGCAAGCCCAUAUUAGAUGAGUGAAACUUGCGUAUUAUCCGUAAGUUUUUGUGUCUCUGUGGCAGGGGGGGAGUAGAUCAUGAUAUUUGUUACAGAUAGGCUAUUCAUAGAAACAAAAGGCACUAUCUGUUACCAUCUGGAUCUCCCCCACUAACCAUUCUGGGUUCAGGCCAAGCAACCAGGCCCAUACUAAUCAGUGCUGUUCGAUCUCUCUCUUCACUUGAACCAAUAUAUGCCUGUAUGUAUGCAUACGCAUGCAUACAUAUAUGCCUGUAUGUAUGUAUGUACGCAUGUAUAUAUGCUUGUAUGCCAAGUAUUUAUUGAAAGCCAUGUUUGAUUUCCUCUGGUGAAUAUGGCAAGUUUUCCCAACCUGAUCAAAUGGGUCAACUGGAUACCAUUUACUAUAUGUACAUAAGGGAUCUCUGCUGGGCUGCCAAGCUACUGGGUUUUCUCGCACUGCCGCCGGUUGAGCACCAAACGCCAAAAAUGACAACUUUGUAGGAACAUUUAGAUAGUCACAGCUCUCUUAGAGAGAAUUACAGCUUAAACAUGCAGGGGAGAUUAAUACAGGAGGCACCCACCCAGUUCUCGGUAGAACACAAAUUAAUACAACAAGGUCACAUAUACAUGGGCGGAGAAAGGGGCAGAGAGGGAGACCUACCCACCUGCCGCCGGAAUCGGACCCACCUGGUCCUCUCCGUCCACCAGGAAAACCAGUCUUCUCCGUCUUAGAAAAAAUACCACGGAUUGAUCUGAUCUUGGAGGAGGAUGAGGAGGAUGAGGAGGAGAGGGAAACCAGAGACUGAUCUAAUGAAUCUAGGGCUGAUUCUAGCUACUACUGUUACUGAUCCAGGCGGAGGAGCCGCCUCAGGUCUCUUGUGGCGGCGUCCGGGUUCUUGGAGGGGAACGUCGGGAGGGGGAGGGCCCUCGGCGACGGUGACGCCGAGAACGCCGGCCCGGCGUACGUCUCCCCGCGCCGCAGGUGCUCCGCUGCGCCCACCAGGCGGAUCUGCUUCGGCACGGCGGCGGGCUCCGGUCCCAGCCUCCCCGUGCCGAAGACCAUCAGAUCCCCGCCGCCCGCCGACGAGAGGACCGCCGGCUUCUUCUCCUCCUUCCCCGCGACCUUCGAGUCGAGGGACCCUCCCCGCCGGAGCGGCCCCGCCGCCGCGACGGCCGGCUCCCUCCGCUUCCUCUGCUCCGGCUUCC